UGAGUACUCCCUUCGUCCGGAAAUACUUGUCAUCAAAAUGGAUAAAAGGGGAUGUAUCUAGAUGUAUUUUAGUUCUAGAUACAUUUUUUUAUCCAUUUUGAUGACAAGUAUUUUCGGACAGAGGGAGUAUUUC
rnacentral:pre_miRNA from 1 species